AGAGUUUGAUCAUGGCUCAGAAUCAACGCUGGCGGCGUGCCUAACACAUGCAAGUCGAACGCGAAAGUCCCGCAAGGGAUUAGUAGAGUGGCAAACGGGUGAGUAACACGUGGGUGACCUGCCUUCGAGUGGGGGAUAACGUCCCGAAAAGGGACGCUAAUACCGCAUAAUAUCCCGCCUUUUAAGAGGUGGAGAUCAAAGCCGGGGAUCGCAAGACCUGGCGCUCAAAGAGGGGCCCGCGUCCGAUUAGCUAGUUGGUGGGGUAAUGGCUCACCAAGGCAUCGAUCGGUAUCCGGCCUGAGAGGGCGGACGGACACACUGGGACUGAGACACGGCCCAGACUCCUACGGGAGGCAGCAGUGGGGAAUUGUUCGCAAUGGGCGCAAGCCUGACGACGCAACGCCGCGUGGAGGAUGAAGACCUUCGGGUCGUAAACUCCUUUCGAUCGAGACGAAUGGCCUCCGGGUUAAUAACCUGGAGGAGUGACGGUACCGAGAGAAGAAGCCCCGGCUAACUCCGUGCCAGCAGCCGCGGUAAUACGGGGGGGGCAAGCGUUGUUCGGAAUUACUGGGCGUAAAGGGCUCGUAGGUGGCCAACUAAGUCAGACGUGAAAUCCCUCGGCUUAACCGGGGAACUGCGUCUGAUACUGGAUGGCUUGAGUUCGGGAGAGGGAUGCGGAAUUCCAGGUGUAGCGGUGAAAUGCGUAGAUAUCUGGAGGAACACCGGUGGCGAAGGCGGCAUCCUGGACCGACACUGACACUGAGGAGCGAAAGCCAGGGGAGCAAACGGGAUUAGAUACCCUAGUAGUCC
rnacentral:rRNA from 1 species